rnacentral:sRNA from 1 species
AUGCGUUACUUGUACAUUCUGGUUCCAACGCGCCUCGUCCGCGCUCAUCUGCCAACUGCUUGCAAGGGUGUGUCAGCC